UCACGUGCUCUCUUCUGCAGGAUCUUGGGUACCUUUCUGUCUGGGGACACAGUAUCUCCUUCUGGUUCCAGGAUGCUCAGCUCAAGGACCACAUGUGGGCUGGGCCGCUGUUGAAUCGCAGGUCAUCCUUUUGAAGUGGAAACAGGUCUAUCUAUACAGCUCGCAGAGGAACAGACAACAAUGAAAGGAAAGAGUUAGGAACCUGGGCUCCAAAUGGGACAGAAUCUUCUCUGUGCUAGCAAGGGUACCUUAGAAAUCAGGAUCUUUGCUUCUCAAAUGCCAGUGUGGUUCCUGAUUUCUCUGAGACUACUAGGAAGCUCCUCCCCAAAUUCUCCAAUGAAAACGAAUACUGCUUUAUUAGAAUUUGCCCAAAGUGUGAGUCCCUCCUUGUCUGCAGGAAGACUGGAGCAGAGUGUGACAGGAUUGUGACAUCAAGAACAAUGACAGUGGAGGGACCAGGCCAGGUGUUUGAGAUCCAUUGCGAUUUGAUUGCUCUGCCUGAGAGAGAGAGAGAGAGAGAGAGAGUGUCUUUCAGCCAUGGGCCUGAAUUAGUACUUUCACCAUGCUUGGUUACUGGCUGGGAGCAGCUCUUGAGAAUUACAGCUUUGGCACAAAUAUGGUAGUGGAUCCAGAGGAACAGAAGCUGAGAUUGUUGACUAUUUAUGCUCCUUGCAGCGGGAGAUCUGAAUGGUACAGCUUCCCGGCUGCCAUAUUGGAUUUACUUUGUAAAAUAUCAUGCUGACAGCUGCAUGGAGAGUAGCAUACAGAAACCACGGAAGGAGCCGGGACAGUAGUUAAACUACAGCAACUACUAAUGAAAGAGUACUAACGAGUGAUAGUGUCAAAAUUGGCAGAAGAGCUCAGAUUUGAAGUAUAUUUUUAACAUAGGGCCAACAGAAUUUUCUGAAGGCAUAGCUUUUGCAUAUGGGAUAAAAGUCAAGAACAACCCAGAUUUUCAGCUGGAACAACUCAGAAACAGUCAUAUAGUGAUAAGCUUCAGGUUAUUUCAUUCCUCUUUGAAGAUGAAAACAAUUCAACAACCUUCUUCUCCAUGCCUUUCAGAAUGAAUUUCUUCUUCUCCCGGAUUUUUCUUUCAAUUCUUGGCUGAAGUUUCAAGCUGUGAUCACUCCAGGUAAGAGCAGAAUUUGAGUUAACUUUGUGCAUCAGAGAGACCAAGGCAGGCAAGGUGAAGGAAAAAGAUUGCAGCAUCCCCGGUGCGUUCCCAGCCCUACCUCCCCUCGUAUUCUAGUUUCUGUGUCUUUGUUCACACUGAUCCUGUAGCUGGGUGGCCACUGUCUCUAACCCAUCGGCUUGUCUACACCUCUACCUUCAGACACCCUUUGACACACCUUUCCAAGGAAGGCAGUCAUCCCCACACUCCCUUCUCUCCACUCCCAAACCCCUGAAUGCAUUUCUAUGAAAUUAAUGUGCUCAAGCUUCUGACCUCUCUGCAAGGGGCCCCAGGGGUCUCUCCUCUGUAGUUAACACUCAGCAUUUUAUCUUCUCCAACUCAGACCCCCUAAAUGUCUCUGCCCCAGUCUCUGUUGCUAUUAAUCCAGUGUUGGCCGCAGGCAAAGCUGUUAUUCACUCCUAAAUGCCUCACAGACGGAGCAGACAGAUCAAAUGGAAAGGCUCCCCCAUCCUGUCCUCUACACCACCUUGCAGCUGGGCCUCAGCAACUGGGUAUGUAGAAUGCGGAUGAUAACGCUCGCCAUGUGGACUUGUCAUUGGGAUAAUGUUUAAUUUAAUCUGAUAAAAAUACUGAUUGACCACAGUGCUCAGUAACAUGUUGGCUCUCGAGGUGUGGCAGCUUCUUCCUUGCUUUUAUUCCUCCUGUAGAAAGUUAAUUGAAUUUCACAUGACUUGCAGCCAGUGGGCAAGGGAUUGACUCACAGCAAGAUGCGUGCUAUUCUAUGUAGGAGACAGGCCAUGACGGCUAUCGGGAAACAAUCUGAGCCAUGGUAUUGUCAUUCCCUGCCUAAUGGUUUGUUGGGUAAUGAGGGACAUUGAGACUUCUACCUUGUGGCAAAUCAGCUCAAGGCCUACCACCUGUAUCCAGAAGAUCAUUCACUCAGGGAUCAGCCAAGGUUAAUCACAAUGGUCCUGCCAACUGGCCCGUUUAUCCGAUCAGAAUAGACAGGAGCUGGGAAGCAAAAAUGAACAGCUUUUAAUUUCAGUCUAAUUCAAGUCAGCAGCAUAGGGCAGCUCCUGGGAAAUUGGUUUACACAUGCGGACAAGCCCAGUAGCCCAGAGCUAACCCACUCACCAUCCCUGACCACAGAGGAGCAGAUAAGGAAGCAAGAUUUGUCGGGCUGCACUGCACCGAGCUUGCACAGGGCGAGGCGGGGGCAGGACCUGGGACCCAGCCACCCCGGAGGAAACCGGAGAGGAAACCAGCUUGGUCUUGCUCUCUGCCUCGUCCCAAUCCCCGGCUCUUACCAAAUGCAGAUCCGUUGGCUGAAUGCCUUUUAGUCUGCAUACAUGCAUCUCAUACCGCACAGCCCAAAUUUCUACAACUUGUCCAGGUGCAGUCUCCUCAGAACUACAAAGCAAGAAAAGAUCACCUUUGGGCUCAGGAACUCACAGUCGUUCUCCCUCUCCCGGAAGGCACAAUGACCAGGACAGUACCGAGCUUUACAGCCAUAUUGAACUCACCAUCAACUCAGCACAUUCAACUCAAUCAGUCAAAAUCGUCUUUUCCUGCUGGUAAAUAACACUGAAAUAUGAGUCUCACUCUGUUGCACUGCACUCCAGCCUUGGUGAAAGAGUCAGACUCUGUCUCAAAAAAAAAAAAAAAACUCAUACACUGUCUUGAAAAUAAAGAAAUCCAUCUAAAAAAGGAUAGAUGAGUCCUGCUUACAAUGGCCUCCCAUAGAAAAGGAAAGGUGUUUCUUUUUUCAAGUUCCAAGGUGUUUCUUUUUCCAAGGACCGCAUCCUUGAUUCUUCUUGGCUCUGAAUGCUGUAUGUACGUCUCUAAACCAAAGGUUGCAUUCAGAGAUAAUGACUUUGAGAUCUAGAGACAGGAGGGGCCUGGAUUUGUGAUAGAAGGAGCUGGUCUUCUGUCUUAAUGUUCCCUUACUUCCUAGCUGUGUGCUGGGAUGAGUCACUGAGCCUCGCAAAAACUCCUCUUGCUCAUCUAUGCAGUAGCAGGUGAAAUUAUGUCCCCCAAAGAAACCAGGCCAAGUCCUGAUCUCCACGCUUGUGAAUGUGACUUUAUUUGGAAAUAGGGUCUUUGCAGAAGUAAUUGCGGUCAUCUGGAUUUAGGAUGGGACCCAAAGCCCAACAACUGGUGUCCUUGUAAGAGAGAGGAAAGGAAGAUUGGACAUACGCAGACAUAGAAGAGACGACAAACAAGAAGGCCAUGUGAGGAUGGAGGCAGAAAUGGGAGUGUGGCAGCCGCAAGCCAAGGAAUACCAAGGACUGCCGGCAGACACCCAAAGCUAGGAGGGAGGCAUGGGUGGGAUUCUCCUUCACAGCCCCCAAAGGAAGUAACCCUGCUGCCGCUUUGAUUUCAGAGUUCUGCCUUCAUACUAUGACAGAGCAGGUUUCUAUUGUUUUAAGCCACCGUGCUUUGGUACUUUGUUAUAGCAGCCUUAGGAAGCUGUUAAUAACACAUAUGGGUAACAAUAAUCGGUGCUGCUGUGAGAUCAUGGAUGCACAAGUCAGAAGUCUAUUGUGGGAAGAUGGGAUGGUAAGAACAAAGUCUGUCUCUGGAAGCACGGGCGCUGUCUCUGAAGACAAAUUGAUCGUAACACAAGCAGACCCGGUGGAACGACCUCCAUGCUGAACCCUCAGCUCCCCCUGCAUUUGGACCAUGGCCUGAUGGAAGGUGCGAGAAACCCUGUGACCACGUUACAGCACAGGGGCAGCUUGGCCAGGCCACCCCUUGGGCCUAAUUUUUCUCCCUGGCCAAAGGGGUCAGACUAUUCCAGUGCUGUCUGCUCCCUGGCCUCCAGAGUAAUCAAACACACAUGUUUGGCGCUCCACUAAUCAGGGAAUGAAAUAAAGCUAGAUGUUUCCAUAUGUUGAUUCAAUUUACAAGCAAAAGUAAGUGUCAGGUAGGGGGCACAACAGUAAGGGGUGAGCAGUGAAGAAAUGAUUCCACAAUGACGUUUCGUAAGGAGCAAAAAGAUGAGGAAGAAAAGGGGAGACACAUCAUUGAAGGCCAGGCUCUGUGACAAUUUAUAUUUGCCUAUAUAUCUGUAUCUCUCUCUGUCUUAUCUAAUGAAAUACCAACAACAACCUGAGAACAGUUCUGUCUUCCGUCACAGAUAAAGAGACUGAUCUCAGAGUGGUACAGAUCUACAACCACGUGAAGAAUUGGAUUUAUAUUCAUCUGACUCCAGAAAGUUCCUGAGAUUCCUCUGCUUCAUCAUCUUUCCCAUGCCCUUUAAAACACGUUAUCAAAUAGCAACAGGUGGUGCAAUAACUAGACAAAUGAUUCUCAGCCUUUUUCUUUGCCAUUAGCACUCCCGGAAGGAGACGUGUUGGACACUUUUCCUUGUCACCACCCCAUGAACCUUCCAUACCACAGGUAUACUGUGUAUUCGGUUAUGUAUCAUCUGUACAUCUGUUUCUAAAACACAGAAACAGUAAGAGCCCCCCAUCCAAGAAUCCAUUUUAAUCCUCUUGGGUGUGAUGUCACCCCCCAAAAAUGCAUAUGCUCUGGAGUCAGUCACAAACACAUUACGAAUGCAUGAUCACUUAAGAAUGUUACCAAAGUUUAUAAAUUUGAGAUGAUAAUUCUAUGUUAUUUAGUUCAUUUUAGAGAUAAGUAAGAACCAGAGAUUCCAGAGAGGUAGACCAAGCUGACAGAGCAAGGAAAGGCAGAGCCAGACAUGCAGCUGAAGCAUCUGAAUUCCAGCCAAUGAGGGGGCAUCAGGGCCACAGCCUUGCUAAAAUCCAUCCUCUCUGUUCCUUUGCUCUUCUGAGGUUCUCUGAGUUACCGCAGCAGAUUGAUGGCAUCCAAUUAACUUUCUGUGGGUGGUUCAAUUGGGUGACCACCCUGGAGGUCAGCGUCUAUGCCUGCUUCCUUCUGGUCCAUGAGUCGUGCCUGGAGGUCUGCAGCCCUUAGCACGCUGCAUGGUAACACAGCCCAGUGCAGGAAGCAUUUGCCCAGAGCCUGCUCUACCCCAUUCAGGCCCCCUCCCCCAGCACAGCAGGACCUGCAAGCAUGGGUCUGAAAAACAGAUCGGAGACCUCCAAUCCAUGGCCAGAUUCUAGCUGAGGCACACGAGGGUCUAGGGUUUCGCCAGGUUAACUCCCAGGAACCAGAGCAGGGAGGGGUUUCUGGCAGUCAGCCACUUGGACAAAGGCUCCCAGAAAGCACUGGAGCCUGAGCCCCACCCGCUUGCCAACCCCUCUGCCUGGAGCGCCCCGGGGCCGAGCUGCCUCGAUGCGUGACUUGCCCAGGCCUCACACAGCUGAGCAGAGCUGGAAGCCUCCCGACACAUUCCUGGUCUCAACUUCACUUUCCCUGCCUGGUUCCUAUUAAUGAUGUGGGUUUCCAAGCCCUAAUAGCAGAGCUCUGGCUUCAGAGGAGGGCUGCCUGGGGCUGCCGGCCGCCAACCAGGUCGCACACAAACGGGAUCUUUUGGAGUCACCCUUUAUGGCCCGGACACUGGAUUAUUUAUAAACUUCUUGAAAACAAAUAAACAAAAGCAAAACUGAAAACCUUGGAAGACACCAGGCUGGACAUAUGCUCCUUUCUUCAGGGACAGAAGUCAGGCAGAUUGGAAGACGCGUUUGUUGGUAAACGCCGGCCUCCCUAACUCCAUGCUGUUGAUGUUGCAUUCGGUGAAGCCCUUUCUUUGGAAGCUUCAUCACUGGCAUCGCCACUAGGCUGCUGGAGAUGCCCUGCAAGUAAUGAGUUUUGCAAACCCAUGAAAGACACAGCCCACCUCUCAUGACAACUCAAUUUGAAUGAGACAGACACUAGUUAAAUAGGCAAACAAUCACAUAAAGUGGCAGUUGCUAUGGUACGGCAGUGUAGGAUGCUAAAGAUAUAGGGAAAUAAGUCCUAACCCCCUCUUGGCGAUUCAGGAAUGGUUUCCAGGAAUGGAAUCAGAGCUGGUUUUGAAGAAUAAGUAGGUGUUUUCCAGGUGGAAAAAUGACAGCAGGAUAUCCCUGGUCUAGAGAAUAGCAUGUGCCAAAGUCAUGGAGGGUGGGCAAAACAAACACAAGCAGAACUUGGCUGGGGCAUGUAGUGUGAGGUAUGCUCACGGAGAGGAAGCUGGGAAAGAAAGCAGGGGCUUGACCAUGAAAGACCUUCAAAGUCAUGCUAAAGAGAUGGCCCAUGGAUCAGAUGUUCAAGUUAGGAAUUCUCUCUCUGGCAGCAAUGGGGAACAGGGGAUGGAAUGGCAGGAGGCAGGGGGCAGUAAGAUCACAGAGAAGCUGCUGUAGAAGCCCAAGUGCUCAGUGAUGGGGUGGCCGAACCUCAAAAAUUGGAGAUCUUUAAAAAAUAACCUCAGUGAUUUUUUUUUUUUGUGGCCAAGCAUUUACAGAGAUGUUUAUUUGAUUUUUCCUAAAAUAUCAGUCUGCAUUGUGUGCCACAACUCCCUACUACAUGGAUGAUACCCCAAGAUACGAACAUUCAUUAUAUCAUGUUCACUAGACAAAUGGUCAUUCUAAAAUGUAGCCAUGACUAUAUGAUUCCCCUACUCUAAAACCUCUCAUGGCUGCCUUCAACCUCCAAAAAAGAUCAGCCUCUCAGCAUGGCAAACCAGCCCUCAUAUGCUGGCCCCAUCAUGGCUCCAGGUCUCCCCCUGUCCCCCUGUUCACGUCAUACCUUCCUACUUCUAGUUAUUCAACCAGAUUCUUCUGCUGUUUUGUUUUUUUCGCAAGCUAGCCAUCACUCUUAGAGGAAAACUUCUGUUUACUCUUCAAAACCUGAACAUCUACUAGGUUCUAGUGGCAACGGUUAGGUCAUAGAUAUAUAGAUUACUUAUCUUGUGAAAUUCUCAAACCAACCGGAAGUUAUAUACUGUUAUUCCCAAAUUAAGCUGAGCAAGAUUGUAGGAGACCAUGCAGGUAGUGAGUGGAUAAAGCAGAACUUUACCCCAGGCUUGUCUGACUAUAAGUUCCAUGAGUGUUUCCUUAUCCCAUACUGCCUUUUGCAAUCCAGUGCUGGCACGUUAAACCUGUGGCAUAAUAGGGAUAGGUGUUCCCUAGACCCAACCACAAAGGGUCAGCUCACGUCUCUUCCCCUGGAUGGCCUCUUUUCACUGCUCCCUUCUGGAAAGUUUCUGUCUAGGUCAAGGGCAUUGUGGGCCACAUCCCAUAUGGCAGUAGGUGACCACGGCUAAUGUAGGCCUUGUACUGUUUUAUGUGUGUGUUGGUUUAUGUGUGUGUUGGUUUGUUUGCAGGAUAAGCCUCAGAAGAAAUGUUUGUAUGAGUCUUCUCUUGUAAUAAAUUAUCACCAACUGGGUGGCUUAAAGCAAUACAAAUUUAUUUUCUUUCAGCUCUGUAGGACAGACAUCAGACAUGGGUCUCACUGGACUCACAUCAAGAUGCCAGCAGGUUGCAUUCCUUUCUGGAAGCUCUAGGUGGAAAAAUGUGUCCCCUUUUUAAGGUCACAGAUGCCUCCCACAUCCCUUGGCUCAUGGACCCCUUCCUCUUUCUUCAAAGUCAGCAACAUCAUUUCUCUCUGACCCUUCUUCAUGGUCCUCUCUCCCUCUGACUCUGAACUCAGCCAGGAAUGGUUCGUGGAUUUCAAGGACCCUUGUGACUAUAUUUAGUGUCCUCCCAGGUGUACUAGGAUCAUCUACAAGGAAGCUGAGCCUUCACAAGGUCGAACAACACAUUUGAUGCCAUGCAACUGAGAAGUGGUUCAAGCUGGAUUUGAACAAAUGUAGUCAGACUCUGCAGCCUAUGCAUGUACCCACUGUGCUAUGCUGUCGCAUUGAAUAAAAUGCAGUGCCCUCAAUACGAAGUCAAUGUGAGCACAUACCAAGAAUCAUAUUGGGAAGGAGAAGUCCUCAGUAGGCAAAACACUUUCCAGCAAUGUUAACCUGGAUGUGGAUAGAAAGGAGACUUGGGAAUUUCUCUGACUUAAUUCAUCUCUGGGUCCAUUUGAAGCAC
rnacentral:lncRNA from 1 species